rnacentral:rRNA from 1 species
UACAGAGGUCUCAAGCGUUGUUCGGAUUCAUUGGGCGUAAAGGGUGCGUAGGUGGCGCUGUAAGUCGGGUGUGAAAUUUCGGAGCUUAACUCCGAAACUGCAUUCGAUACUGCGGUGCUUGAGGACUGGAGAGGAGACUGGAAUUCAUGGUGUAGCAGUGAAAUGCGUAGAGAUCAUGAGGAAGACCAGUGGCGAAGGCGGGUCUCUGGACAAGUUCCUGACACUGAGGCACGAAGGCCAGGGGAGCAAACGGG